rnacentral:rRNA from 1 species
UGGGGAAUAUUGGGCAAUGGGGGAAACCCUGACCCAGCAACGCCGCGUGAGGGAAGAAGGCCUUCGGGUUGUAAACCUCUGUCGCAGGGGACGAAAGAAAUGACGGUACCCUGUGAGGAAGCCCCGGCUAACUACGUGCCAGCAGCCGCGGUAAUACGUAGGGGGCGAGCGUUGUCCGGAAUUACUGGGCGUAAAGGGUGCGUAGGCGGCCGUUUAAGUUGGAUGUGAAAUCCCCGGGCUUAACCUGGGUGGUGCAUUCAAAACUGGAUGGCUAGAGUGCAGGAGAGGGAAGCGGAAUUCCUAGUGUAGCGGUGAAAUGCGUAGAUAUUAGGAGGAACACCAGUGGCGAAGGCGGCUUUCUGGACUGUAACUGACGCUGAGGCACGAAAGCGUGGGGAGCAAACA